AGCAGCCGCGGUAAUUCCAGCUCCAAUAGCGUAUAUUAAAGUUGUUGCAGUUAAAAGGCUCGUAGUUGAAUUUCGGGAUCAAUAUAUCGGUCGUGCCAUCGGUACGUACUGGUAUUAUUGGUUUCUCCUUUCUGACGAACUAUAAUGCCAUUAAUUUGGUGUUAUAGGGAAUCAGGACUGUUACUUUGAAAAAAU
rnacentral:rRNA from 1 species